GUUUUUUUGUUGUUGUUUUGUUUUUAAGGGAGCAGAUGGCCUUUGUCUCCCUGAACCAAUAUGGAUUGUCACUCUCCUCUCCUUGGAAGCUACCACUCCCUGUAAAGCUACUCCGUUGGAACUCACACUUGACCAGAGUCACAUUGGCAGGCGGCUAUAGUUUUUCUGUGCUGGGUUUAUAACUCUUUUGUUCAACUUGUAGUUAGGUUUUAAAACUUAAUGCAAAAAUUAUCCUUUUUGUGUUCCUGAUUUUUUGCUUUGAAAAAUUGACAAAGGAUGAUGUAUGUUUUCAUAAAAGGAAAUUGUCAAGAUAAGUUUGUCACUCCCUGUUUUCAUAGGCUAAUGAUUUUCCCAGUUUGUUGUCAUCUAGAACAAGGGUCAGCAAACCAUGGCCUAAGGGCCAGAUCUGCCCAGUCACCAAUUUUUGUGUAAUCUCAGAUCUAAUAAUGGUUAUUACAUCUUAAAUGUUGGAAAACAUUGGAAGAAUAAUAAUAUUUUGUAACCCAGGAAAAAUCUAAUAAAAUUUAUAUUUCAG
rnacentral:lncRNA from 1 species